AUCCGUAUUUGUGCUUUACAUUCUUUCUCACGGCCACAGAGAUGGAAUAAUCUUCACAGAUCAUUACAAGAACGAUAAUCGCGCGGGCGUGGAAGAGCAGCGCGCCAGCAGAAGUGACGGAGGCCUAGAUCCAAUAGAUUUAUUUAUUUCCUUCACAAUAACGGAGAUUUUCGAUUCUCUGAAAAAGCUGACUGGCUUCGAGGAUUGUCUUAAACUUAUAAACUUUGGUCCAUGUAGAGGGGAACUGAUGGACGCAGUUCAUAACGAAAACCAGAAAAAGAUACCGUUCAAGAACGAAAACUCUUGCCGAAUCACCUACAGCCCUGAGAUGAGGAACACCGUUGUGUUCUUCUCAACAGUUGAAACAACCCUGGCUAAUCGAGACCAAUCAGGAACAACUUUCACCCGCCUAACUUGCCAGGUGUUAGAUUCGAUUGAGAAGGACGAAAGUCUCAUUAAUGUCCUAGCAAUUAUUCAAUAUGAGAGUCACAAAGUUGCAGUCAAAGAGAUAACUGGACAAACUCCUGAAGUAAAGAUGUUUUCUCAGGACAGAAGUUUCGUCUU